rnacentral:rRNA from 1 species
UACGUAGGGUGCAAGCGUUAAUCGGAAUUACUGGGCGUAAAGCGUGCGCGGGCGGUUAUGCAAGACAGAGGUGAAAAUCCCCGGGCGUCAACCUGGGAACGUGCCUUUGUUGACUGCAUAGCUAGAGUACGGUAGAGGGGAGUGAAUUCCGCGUGUAGCAGUGAAAUGCGUAGAUAUGCGGAGGAACACCGAUGGCGAAGGCGACUACCUGGACUGAUACUGACACUGAGGUGCGAAAGCGUGGGGAGCAAACAGGAUUAGAAACCC